CUUGAAUAUCUAUAAGAGGUCCAGCCUGCCCAGUGACUCUGUUCAACGGCCGCGGUAUCCUAACCGUGCGAAGGUAGCGUAAUCACUUGUUCUUUAAAUGAGGACUAGUAUGAAUGGCACCACGAGGGUUAUACUGUCUCCUUUUUCUAAUCAGUGAAACUAAUCUCCCCGUGAAGAAGCGGGGAUUAAAAUAUAAGACGAGAAGACCCUAUGGAGCUUUAAACUUAAUAACAAGUACUACCCUUUAUUUAACUUUCAGAACAUAUACCUUUAUUCUAGUAUUAUGAUUAUUAGUUUUAGGUUGGGGUGACCGCGGAGCAAAAAUCAACCUCCACAUUGAACGGAACUCAUUCCUGAGCAAAAAGCCACGACUUUAAGCACCAACAAAUUGACAUCAAUUGACCCAAUAUUUUGAUCAACGAAC
rnacentral:rRNA from 1 species